GUUCUCGUGGUUGAAGUUCAACGGCGGUUUUUCAGGCCGCAGAUCUUGGAGAAAAGCCAAGCGGGAACC
rnacentral:tRNA from 2 species